CCCCAGCAGCAGGGUGCAGGGCAUGGGCGGGGCCCCCUUUCUGACUGUCCUUCCACAGGUUCCUUCCUGUGCCUUCUAUGUCUCCUAGAAACCACCACAGGAAACCACUUGGCAUGCCCCUGUGCCCAGGCAGACUCCUCGGGAAACAAGGAUGGUCUAUAGUAAGUGAGGGGAGGGGACGGAGUCUGUCCUCACAGUGCCCUGGCUGCUUCUGCAUCCCAACUACAGGGCAAGGAGAAAGAAUCCCCCUUAAUUAUUCACCCAUUAACACAACAAACAUGUAAGAGUCCCCACCAUGGGACUCACAGGCCAGGUGGAUUCUGGCCUGAGAGAGCCACAGCGAGUGCUGGCACAAAGGGGCACGUGCUUAUGAUGCGGAGGUGUCCAGAUGCUGAGUGCCCAGGCAAGGUGGACAACACACCUGGUUCUGGUCCACAUGGAGCUGGUCAGACCUGCCCAGUCCUCUUGUGAAGCCAGAGGGCCAUGGACUUGUGUGCAAGGAAUUUCUUUGCCCCAGAAUCUGCUUCUGUCCUGAUGCUCAGAGGUGUCACGAAGACGAAAAACUAGGAUGGGGAAACCCAGUGCCUUGACUGUGGCAAAAGUGAUCAGAGUAACCAUUUCCCAGCCUUUUCUUUUCUCAUUUUCUUUUCCUCCUCCCCCUCCUCUUCUUCUUUUUUUUUAAAUUGCUACUAGGGAUUGAACCCAGGGGUGCUUAACCACUGAGCCACAUCCCAGCCCUUUUUACUUAUUUAUUUUUUGGUUGCUGAGGCUGGCUUUGAACUUGUGAUCCUCCUGUCUUAGCCUUUUGAGCCACUAGGAACCUUUCUUGAUGUCUGUGCUUGGAAACCACCUUGCCCCUCUUCGGGCACCAAACCCAAUACUGAGACGCUAGGUGGAGAUACAUUUCUCAAGCAAUAAACUCAAAGGCCCUCCCUCUUCCUUUCCAGUCUAUUCCUACCCUCCUCUUCUACCCAUGCAGCAGAGAACUUACAAACUUAAAUUGGGUUGGGAAUUGUGCAUUUUUAGGGAAGGCUAAAAAUGCAACCAUUAACUGAGCUCACACAGCGUCUCUGCUUGCUAGCUGUAUGACCUUUGGAAAGGUACUUAACUUCUCUGAACCUUCACUUCCACCCAGAGGCUCCCGCUGUUGUUGCCUCCGCUGUUCCUCCAAACAAGCUCUCUUCGGUCCCAUUUCCUGCCUCUUGCAUUUCUCUUUAUUUCUAACUCUGCCUGAAACCUGUGGGCAGCCAGUCCUAUUAGAAAUUUCAUUCACACUUAAGAAGUCUGCAAAUUGGUGUCACUCAGCAGGUGUCUGUCCUUCACAGGGGGAAAGGGGUCUGAUGGACAAGAUGGGCAGAGCUAGGGAACAGAGUAGAAUCUCUUCCAGGCACCCCUCGGUAUCCAGGGCUGGUGUGGAAAGGAAGGGGAAGAAAUCCUUCUUUGCUAACACAUCUGGGGAGGGAAGUGGAGUACACUCCUAAUUUGAGAGAUGGAUAAGACAGUCCCUGUUAAGUCAAACACACCCCAGUUUCAAUUUUGACUACUGCUUAACAGCUGUGUGAUUUUAAGCCAAUCACUUAACAUCCCUGAGCCUUGAAUUCUUCAACUGUAAAAUGAACUAGAUCACUUUGCUAGGCAUUAUGACAAUUAGGCAAAUGAGGUGUCAUAAUACAUGAAGGUAUACAAGGUCUCCAUAUUUCGGUCUCUUCGGCCUCCUCUUUUAUAUUGUUCCUGGUUGUCUUCUUUACCAUCCUUGGGUACCACAGGUCUCCUUUCCUGAAAUAGGAACAGAUGGAAACUACCAUCUCACUACUAGUCUCCCUUCUUAUGUAGGAGUUUUAUCCAUUUCAGUGUUGAUGCUUCCCUUCCUCAAAUCAGCAUCUUGUCCAUUUCAAGGUGUUCAAUAUACAAUGAAAGAAGGAAGGGAGGCCAAAUCCCUUCCCAUCUUAAAAACACAGAAAUCAAGGACUAGAGAGGUCACGACUUGCCUCUCAGUCAUUCAGCAACGUAACUUUCUAGGAAUCCCAGAACACAAAAGGGUCGGGGGACGCCAGGGUCAGGGCAGGAGUUUCUAGCCUUAACCGCAGCGAUGCGGCAGCCUGGUCCUUUACUGCAGCUAUCAGGUUUCCCGGAUAAGCAUGGACGUGACGCCCUCUGCUGGAUUCUCUAGGUAACUUCUUUAGUCGCAGUUCUGUCAGCAAUGCAACAGAACGGACCAGCUUUGAAAAUUUCCCCGUUCAGGCUCCACCCCAAACUGAUUAAAUCAGAACCUUGGGGUGUGACCCGAGCUCCAGUAAUUUUUAAAGUUCCUCAUGUUCAGUUGAGACUGAGGACCACUGAUUGAAGGAGUAAUUUUUAUAUGUGGAGAAACUAGCAUAGAAAUUUCCCUGGGUUGAAUCUGUCCGAUUUCCAUUAAAAAAUUAACAAUUCGAGAUUCACCUGGGUCUGAGAAUCUUGAGACUUUUCAAGAGUUGAGUGUAUAAAAGUGGCACAAUUGUUUUGUUGACAGUUUAUGUCCAAAAUCUGGCCACUGUUGGGUCAAGAGAGCUAAGAGAGGGGAAAUUGCUUGGAUAAAAUGAGUGAUUUACAUUUAGCUCCCAGAGUUUAGUCAGCUUCAUACCCUGUAACACAAAGGAUCUUUUUCUUUCUUUUUGGGUGGGGAAGAUAUUAAGGAUUAAACUCAGAGGUGCUCUACCACUGAGCCACAUCCACAGCCCUUCUUAUUUUUUGAGAUAGGGUCUCUCUAAGUUGCCCAGGCUGGCCUCAAGAACUUGCAAUCUUCCUGCCCCAGCCUCCUGAGUCACUGGCAUUACAGGUGUGUGCCACCAUGCCUGGCUAACACAAUGAUCUUAAACACAGCCCUGCAUCAGGAUCAGCUGUUAGAUUGAUCAAAGACAGAUUGCUAGGCCCCACCUCCUGAUUUUCCAAUAAAUUCCCAUGUCAAGCCUAUGCUGUUGGUUUAGGACCACACUUAGAAAACUGUUGCUCUAAAAAACCAGACCACUAGGUAUAUGUAUGAAGACAAGAAUGGUGUGACUCUACUUUCUGUACAACCAGAGAAAUGAAAAAUUGUGCUCUGUUUGUAUACUAUGAAUCAAAAUGCAUUCUGCUGUCAUGGAUAACAAAUUAGAAUAAAUGAAUAAUUUUUUAAAAAGAAAUUUUAAAAAUCAAAAACAAACAAAAAAGCCCCCAGACCAGAUCAACAACUAAUUUCAGGUCUGCAUUUGGUUCAGCACCAUGGGGAUCCCCACAGUGCCCAGAAUAUUCUCACAAUAGGUAUACAUAGCAGCAAGAAUAGCAGUUCAUGCGUAAUGUUUUAUAAGUAAACAAAUCAAGUCUUACCUCUCAAGUGCUUCCAGAUUGUAAGGUCCCUAGAGAAGUGGAAGGAAGGGAUAUUUCCAGUACAGGAGUGGGCAGUCGAGAUCAGUGGUUUUCCUAAGGAAGCAGGACUAGGAGCACUGCCAUCCACAGUCAAGAUAACAUCCUUAUUGAACACCUGGGGCUUCAAACUUUUUGCUUGAUAAUAUUAUUAUCAUAACUGAGUAGUUAUGAAGGUGUCAUUAUUAUUAUUAUUAUUAUUUGCGGCACUGGGAAUUGAACCCAGGAACCAUAUUCCCAGUCCUAUUUUAUUUUGAGAAAGGAUCUAAGUUGCCCAGGCUGGUCUUGAACUUACACUCCUCCUAUUUUCUGAGUGGCUGGGAUCAUAGGCAUGUGCCACCACACCCAGUUAAAUAUUGACUUCUUAAGAAAUACAUCAAAGGAAUGCAACCACCUCUAAAUUAGGUAGUGAUUUGAUACCGUUGGGGUAAACACUAGUCAGUGCCAAGAAGGUUUGUUGUUUCUGAAGGUGAACUAAGAAGGACCUCCAAGAAUGUGUUGUGAGGGGCAAGAAGGAAGGAAGCUGACCAUUUCCCUCAUCUCCAGUCUUUAGGUGGGGAUCGAAGCAGAAUGAUCUUGGUUGUGAAACAGAGUCACUACUCAUAAAACAUACGAAGAAACCCAUGCGUGCAGUAGGCAUGCAAUCUCUCUUGUAGAUAUAUUCUCCUGCUUGUAUGUGCAGCCCUCCAUUGUAUCCAGGCCUGCUACUUCCAAAGAGUACAUAAGUAAUAAAAUGUCCAGAAGUUCUUUCUUUGUGAUCAAAAAUCAUACAUUGGGGCCUUUGCAGCCCUGGUUUUGCACAUAUACUAACAUUAUCCUUUUUUAAAGUAUAUGAAAUAACUGUUCUUACUGACAAUGUUAAUUUUACUCAAAGCACCUGUGCUCCUCAAAAACAGCAAUGGUUAAGAAACCCACCCCUCACCCUUUUGUGUUAGCAAUGAAUUACUACAAAGAAACACCCUUCUCCAACUAAGAUAAAACUCAUGGAUUCCCCACUGUGGCCUCUGAUGAUGCUGAGCACAUUUCAAGUCCUAUUUUAUUUUGAAACAGGAUCUAAGUUGCCCAGGCUGGUCUUGAACUUGCACUCCUCCUAUUUUCUGAGUGCCUGGGAUCCCAUUCUUGACUUCAUCAGUGAUCUCAUGAACUGCUUGGCCCACUGAAUAACUGAAACAAUAUGGAUGACUAAACUUUAAUUAAGCUUUUGACUCUCUCCCUUUCCCAUGUUCCCCCAAUUUUGGCCCUCUCUCAGUCUAAACCACUAAACAAUCCCUCCUUAACAGCCUCCUAAGAAUAGUAUGGUCCCCAAAUAAAACAUUCUCCUGUCUACUAUCCCAUCAUGUCACUUCUAUUCAUCCCAUUUCUAGCUUUUGUUUACACUUCCCUAAAAAAAAGAAAUGCUUUUUGUCUUAUCCUUGGGAACAUGGAGAGAUCAUGGCCAGAGUGCUCAGCUCACCAUUCCCCAUUCCAUUCCCAAAAUAAUACUUUCAAAUAAAUCUGGAUUUGUUUCUGACUUGACAUUAGAUGCAACAUGCUUUUUUUUCUCCUUGAAUUUACAUUCGACUUCUGUUAUGAAGUUUAAUCCAACCAUAAUAUAUUUUCAUGCUUGGCAAUAUUUUAUGAUGCAUCCACUCAUUUCUCCCACAAAAUGAUGUCAAUAAAUUUAAAUUUGCU
rnacentral:lncRNA from 1 species